CUUCUCCGCCGGCGACCGGCGCACGGGUGAGUAACACGUAUGCAACCUGCCCCUGUCAGGGGGACAACCCGCCCGAAAGCGGGCUAAACCCGCGUACAUGCCACCGGGGCAUCCCGGAGGCAGGAAAGGCUUCGGCCGGACAGGGAUGGGCAUGCGGCGCAUUAGGCAGUAGGCGGGGUAACGGCCCACCUAACCGACGAUGCGUAGGGGUUCUGAGAGGAAGGUCCCCCACACUGGUACUGAGACACGGACCAGACUCCUACGGGAGGCAGCAG
rnacentral:rRNA from 1 species